rnacentral:lncRNA from 1 species
AAAAAAAAAAAAGCAGAUAAAUAGCAGAGGAAGAGGCAGGAUGCACCAUGCCUUGGCCACUACAUGUUUGUAGGGUUUUGUUAAAGACAAUGGUAUGACGUUGAACCUUGGAUUGCCUUGAGUACACACUCACAGCGCUGCUCAUGGGGCAAGCAUGCCUGGGAGAUGACCUGGGGCACCACGCCCUGCCUAUCUCAGACAAGGAACUCCAGGCAGCAGUGGCGAAGCGUAUAGCCCCAUCCUUAAGGAGCGGAGGCCGGCUCAUAUUUGCCUAUUAGGGACGUGCGGCUCCGAGGUUCUGCUGCGUCCCUCCUGGAAAUGGAUCCUUCCCAGCCAGCAACCGAAGUCAGCAGCAGAGGGCAAAGCACCUGGGCUUUAGCUCCAAGCCCCACAGUCCUCCUGAGUAUCCUAGAGGCCACUGACUACACAGUUGUGAGGGACCUGUUCAUCAGCCCUGUGACCUGGGGUGAACUGUGACACCUGGCACAUUGUCCCUGGAAGAGGCAAAAGCCCAGGGCUUCAAGAUGCCAGGGCUUCAAGGAACCAAGGCAUGACCUCAAGAGAUCUGCCAGAGGUGGCCUCGGUGGCAGCAGUCAUUGAAGAAAGGAAGACAGCUGCCCAGCCAAUCUGACGGACCAUACACAGACAGCCCUGUUCCCAGGGAGACAAGUGUCUCUCCACAACCCGCGGCCACCACGGCGGCUUCAGGAAAGGCUCCCACAUUCCCAGAGCCUCUGCUGCAGCUCACUGACAAAUCAGCCCCUCAAUAAUCUUAUUGUAUAUUUUCAAAAUAAUUCUCAGUAAUGCCCCAAGAAUGUCUGAACUUCUGUGUGAACUCGCUAGUUUGCAUAUUUUUCAGCUUAUUAGCGGGAACUCCGAUAGACAAGGCCCAUGACCUUGCUUUUCCAUGGACCUCUUGGCUGGGGUGCAAGGGCAGCCUCUCCUGCUGGUGAACUUGCAGUGCCCUUCUGUCUUGUUCUGAUUCUCUCUCACACUGGUCCCAGCCUCUUUCUUCCCUUGCCCGCUUCAUAGCCAACAUUAAGAAAUGAAUCACUUGGCUUCCACAAGAUUCAGGUUCUGAAUUUUCAUGAAGCAAGAUUCUGGAAAAAGGAGAGAGCAGAGAUAGUGUUGCCUUUGAUGACCUGUUUACCCCAAACCCAGCGCCGCUGGGAAGGGAGCACUCAGCUUCUGAUUUCAGGAUGACUGCACGCGACCGCAGUUCUAAUACAGCUUGCCAUUCCUAAAUCCCUGAGACAUCACAGGCCCAGCCAGAUGUGAUGUGGCCUGGCCUAAUCCUUCAGUGCAAUGCAAGGGAGAGUGGAAGUUAAACCUUAAUUAAAAACAAGAUCGGAUACUGCAAAAUUACGGUUUUAAAACUGCUUUGAAUGGGCUUAUUUGGGAGUGUAUUCAAGUGUAUGGAUAUGCAGAUUCAGG